CGGGGACACAGGGAUGGACACAGGGACAGACGGACAGAGGGACACACGGACAUGGGACAGAGGGACACAGGGACAGGGAUGGAUACGGGGACAGACGGACACAGGGACAGACGGACAGAGGGACACACGGACAUGGGACAGAGGGACACAGGGACAGGCAUGGAUAUGGGGACAGACGGACACAGGGACAGACGGACAGACGGACACAGGGACAGGGAUGGACACAGGGACACGGGACAGACACAGGGACAGAGGGACAGACGGACACGGGGACAGGGACAAGGACACAGGGAUGGACACAGGGGACAGACAGACAGACGGACGCGGGACACAGGGAUGGACACAGGCAUGGACAGCGAGAUGGACACAGGACAGACGGACAGACGGACACGGGACACAGACAUGGAGACAGGGAUGGGACACGGAUAGAUGGACAGACGGACACAGGACACAGGGAUGGACACCGGGACAGGACAGACGGACGGACACGGGACACAGACACGGAGACAGGGAUGGGACACAGGGACAGACAGACACAGGACACGGGGAUGGACACAAGGACAGGACAGACAGACGGACAUGGGACACAGGGAUGGACACAGGGACAGACAGACAGAGGGACAGACGGACACGGGCACAGACAGGCAGACGGACACAGGGACAGGACAGGACAGACAGACGGACACGGGGACAGGGACAAGGACACAGGGAUGGACACGGGGACAGGACAGACAGACGGACAUGGGGACAGAGGGAUGGGGGACAGGGAUGGACAGACAGGACAUGGGGACAAGGACAGACAGAUGGACACGGGGACAGGGACAGGACACAGGGAUGGACACAGGGACAGAUCGACAGACGAACACAGGACAGAUGGACACGGGGACAGGACAGACAGACGGACACAGGACAGACGAACACAGGACAGAUGGACACGGGGACAGGACAGACAGGCGGNCGGACACAGGGACAGGACAGACAGACAGACACAGGGAUGGACGGACACA
rnacentral:lncRNA from 1 species